CAGGAGCCCAUUCACCAACUCUCUGCUGUGGUAGCUGGGAGUCUGUUUUUGGGAAAAUUUCAGCCUGUUAGAAAGAGGAAAUUCCCUGUUGAAAAAAAGUGGAUUUGUCCUGUCAACGUAUGCGCUCGUUGGAUUUUAGUGAUUGCCCACAUGUCUGAGAGGACACUGGUGAUCAUCGAUCCAUUGGGGAACGAGGACAAAUAUGAGAGCAAAAUCUUGUGGAAUUGGAGGAACUUCUUGAGGUUGGCGGGCCGUGAGUUCCAAAUGGAAACUUGGACUACCAAAACUGCCCCAUAACAAGCAACAGGACAACAGUAGCUGUGGGGUUUUGUUUGCGGAAGAGUAUAUGGCCAAUGGCGAUCUCAGGCACACCCAGACCCACCUUCCCGAUGUUCUGAAGGCUCGAGGAGAUAUAGCCUGUGCCCUCCUACAGGCCUGGAAUCUAUGUCUGUUUAAAUAAAAUGUCUGAAACU